GGGAGUUCUAGGGUAUCCCGGUCUUCAUGCUCCGGGAGGUCUUUUAAGAUCCUCACCAGCUGUUUUUGUUUUGUUUUCCCGGGAGUUCUUAGGGAUCCCGGUCUUCUGCCCCUGAGGUUUCUCUGCCACAGGGUCUUCGUAUUAUGUUUUUCCUUUUGAAAAGUGACAUUCAUAAUAGAAAUAACAUUAUCAUAUAAAGAAUGGCGUCAUUUUAUUCAGUUGUGUUUUUCAGGGUAUAAUAUUUUUCUUUACAAAUAUUUCAAGGGAAAUACCUCUUCAAGUGUUGGAUAUUCCAGGCAUGGGGCUCAGGGUUUCCCUGCAUAUCUUCAAUUCGGUAUACUCCCGGCCUGACCACUUUUGUUAUUCUGAAUGGGCCCUCCCAAGUCGGUGUCAACUUACCCAUUGCGACUCUUUUUCCCGUAGCCUCCAGGUUUCUCAAGGCUAUGUCUCCUACUUUCAAACUUCUUUCUCUGACUUUUUGGUUGUAAUAUCGUGCUGUCCGUUGUUGAUAAGCGGCAGUUCGGACUUGAGCUUCUUCCCUGAUUUCUUCGAGAGCAUCCAGGUUGCUUCUUAACUUGUCAUCAUUAGUGUUUUCACUAACGAAUUGGACUCGAUGAGUGGGGAUUUGCAGCUCCACUGGGACUACAGCCUCUGUGCCGUAGGCAAGUGCAAAAGGUGUUUCUUUGGUAGGCGUCCUG
rnacentral:lncRNA from 1 species